CUUCCUUUUUCUCUGUGCAUCCUCAGUGACGCGGGGCACAGCUCUGCCCGGGGGCCUACCAGAGCCCACCUGGACCCCACACUGGGUCAGCCCUGGUGCGGAGGAGGCCGCUGUAGGCGCGGCCAGGUCACAGUCGGCACCAGAAGUUUGGCAGAUCUCAGUGAGGCGUUAGUUUGCAUUUCCUUGUGACGGAGUCUCACUCUGUUGCCAGGCUGGAGUACAAUGGUGCCAUCUUGACUCACUGUAACCUCCGCCUCCCGGGUUCAAGCUAUUCUCCUGCCUCAGCUUCCUGAGUAGCUGGUACUACAGGCGUGUGCCACCAUGCCCAG
rnacentral:misc_RNA from 1 species